UGUUAUGAUUUUGAUUACAGUUUGACAACAAUAGGGAUGAAUAUCAAAAACCGAUUCCUGUUAAGAACUGAUAAGAAAUGAUUUGAUCCACAGACAUCAAUAGCCUUUUUGUUUAAUGAUUCCCUUAUCUGUUUUCAGUGCACAUUACACCACAGCUUCCAUUGUUUGUGAGGGUGUGUAUC